UACGGGGGGGGCAAGCGUUGUUCGGAUUCACUGGGCGUAAAGGGUGCGUAGGCGGCCGGGUAAGUCUGAUGUGAAAUCCCGCAGCUCAACUGCGGAACUGCAUCGGAUACUCUCCGGCUAGAGGAAUGGAGGGGAGACUGGAAUUCUCGGUGUAGCAGUGAAAUGCGUAGAUAUCGAGAGGAACACCAGUGGCGAAGGCGAGUCUCUGGACAUUUCCUAACGCUGAGGCACGAAAGCCAGGGGAGCAAACGGG
rnacentral:rRNA from 1 species